AGUUUAAGAUGACAAUAGGACCUUGUCUGACCAUAAUGAUUUCAAAAUUUGAUCUUAGAAUACCUCUGGAAUC